UACAGAGGUCCCAAGCGUUGUUCGGAUUCACUGGGCGUAAAGGGUGCGUAGGCGGUCGGGUAAGUCUGAUGUGAAAUCUCACAGCUUAACUGUGAAACUGCAUUGGAUACUAUCCGGCUCGAGGAAUGGAGGGGAGACUGGAAUACUUGGUGUAGCAGUGAAAUACGUAGAUAUCAAGUGGAACACCAGUGGCGAAGGCGAGUCUCUGGACAUUUCCUGACGCUGAGGCACGAAAGCCAGGGGAGCAAACGGG
rnacentral:rRNA from 1 species